rnacentral:piRNA from 1 species
UAAAGAUUGAUCUCAGCAGUAAAUAAGUCU